UUCCCCUCUGCCCCGACUAAAAAAUCCCCUCUACGCCGGCCGGUGCCCGACCGCCCGAUUCAGCGCCUCCGGCCGGAGACCGCCCCGCCGCCGACGAAGGCCACGCCGGUGAUCUCCCCCCAGCCCGCCUUCCCCUCUUUCAUCUCCUUUCUACUCCUCUCUCGGCCCCCUCGAGCUCACCUCGAUCCAUGGCCUCUCCUUAAACCUAGCUCCGGUCACGGCCACGACCGGCUUCGCAGCUCCCAGCCGCCAUUGCCUGCGCCUCCCCCUGUGUCUCCCUCACCUCGCCGUGCAGCACCGUGGCUGUACGUCGCCAGCGCCAUCAGUGGCAACCCGCUCUAAUCCACCUGCACGCCAUAGACAACGGCCAUGGAGGACGCACCUCCGGCUGCUCACUCGUCGCUUGCCGGCCAGUACCUCCACCACCAUCUCAUCCAUCUAGAUUAAGGGUGCUUUAAUUUCAACAGAUUUUCUUCUUCUUUGCAACAUGGUAAUUUGCUGAGAUAGAGUCUUGAUUUGAAUUAUUGCAGAAUGGCAAUCUGCUUUAUGUUGGCAUUAUCAUCUCAGGAUAAUCCAUAUGUUUUCCUAUGACUUGAGGAGUUGUUGAUGGAUGAUAUACAUAGGCUACCAAGUGGUAGCUCCAAUGUUGCAAUUGAGGUCAGCAAUGGGUGCUUCUCCUGGGAUGGCUCACCUGAGAUACCAAGGCUGAAGGAUCUGAAUUUUCAAGCUCAGCAAGGCAUGCAUGUUGCACUCUGUGGCACGGUCGUCUCUGGAAAAUCAAUUUUGCUCACUUGAUAUCUUGGUAUGGUGCCAAAGCAAUUAGGAGAGGCCAAGACUUGCAUAACAGGGGCAUAUGUCAGCCACACGGCAUGGAUACAGAGCGGCAACAUUCAGGACAACAUACUGCUCGGCAAGGAGAUGGAGAGUCAGAAGUAUGGCAGGGUCCUUGAGUGGUAUUCGCUAAACAAAUACUUGGAGAUCAAAAUCAUUGGAGAGUGAGGCUGCACUCUUAGUGGCAGGCAGAAACAAAGGAGUCAGAUAGCUCGAGCAUUGUAUCUGUAUGCUGACAACUAUUUGUUCCAUGAUCCGUUCAACGCAGUUUAUGCUCAUACAGGAUCCCAAUUUUCCAAGAUCGAUGGUUUCGCCGCGGUCGUCGGGAGAAAUAUCAUCAAUGGUACGGGAAAAAUAGGUAGUCUGAGGCGGGCACCCACACCAAGCGGACGACCCAGGAAGGCAGCUCUGCAACUCCGCCUCAUGCCACUUCCCAUCUCUAUGUUUGUGUCAGACCCAGCGUAAGGUAGUGGCAGAAGAGGAGGCCGGGAAGAGAAGCUCCAAGGUAGGAGGCUUUUGAUCUGAAGGCAAGUUGGACGAUCUGCUCACAAAGACACCUCUAUUCUGAAUUUCUACUUGAAAAGAUUGAUCAGGUCAAAAAUGUACCUUGGCUAUGUCUCUCACUGUGUGCUGAACAAUGUUUUGCUUAUUUUCAUCUUGGUUGUUGACAUUGGUGGUGUUAUCUGUCAGAGAAAGUUGUUGAAGUGGAAGAAGAAGAUGAACCUAUACAAGAGCUGAAAAAAGGACGUGGUAGAAAGAAGGAAGCGAAGCCUAAACAGUAUAAUGAUGUGAGUUCAGAUUUCCUAUGUUUUCUUCCCUUCUUCAUCAAUAUGAUAGCAUAGUUGUCUUCCAGAUUAUGCGAAUGUCUUUGGUUGUCAUAUAUUGUGAAUGCAUUAUAGUUUGAUGUGUUGUCUGUAUUAACUGCUCAACAUACUUUCCUUGAAUAAUUAUACAUAGACUGUUCUAUCCCUUAUUAUUUCAAAAAAUUCCGAUUGACCGCUCAACCUGUGACAGUACUACCUCGCCCAGCCGCGCAUCCAAGACGCGACGCUUGCUGGAAAGCUGGUCAAGUAGGCCCUCGACUGCGAGUUUUAGCUGAUUGGUCCUGCACAUUAUCCUAAUUGCUACAAUAACGGACUUACAACAAUCAUGCUUUCUAUAUUGAAUUUUUAUAUUCGACCUCACCAUUGCUUAGUUUCCUUUCCUGAUGUCAAGACACAAAGAAUUUGAGAUUCAAUUUAUCUUUUUUAGUUUUUACACUAGAGUGCUUCAUUUAUAUGUAUUACUGUAGAUACAUGGGAAUCCUUAAGGUGUCAGGCUUGUUCUUAUUAUUGCUCAUGCAACCCUAAACUUCAGUUAAAUGUACUACUUUUCAGGUUUUAGUGUCUGGAUCUUCAAUACAAAACAGAGUCGAUUGUAUAUGUCAAUUCUGUAUUGGUUCUAGGCAAGUAGGUUGACAUGUUCAUCUAUUAUCAUGAGUGUUGUGUUUACACUUGCAGUUCAGAUAUUAAGCUUAAGCUAAAGAUCUGACUGUACUGUCUAGAGGUGGAAUGGUAAGCUCUCUUUAUGGUUCUUUUUGCUAAAUAUCUUGCAAAUGCCACACUAAAGUGGGUAUCAGUCCAGUAUGUUCUUAUGUCUAUGCAUCCGGGAAAUGUUGACGCUUUAUUGGUUUUGGUCACAAAAGUGUUCUUAUGUCUAUGCAUCCGGGAAAUGUUGACGCUUUAUUGGUUUUGGUCACAAAAGUGUUCUUAUGUCUAUGCAUCCGGGAAAUGUUGACGCUUUAUUGGUUUUGGUCACAAAAGUGUUAGCUGUACAUGCUUUCAUCUUGAUUAUAUAUUAUAUGGAGUUCUUAAUAAUACUACUUCUCAGUUAGUUCAUUGAAGUAAUGAUACAAUCAAUUGGAUGUUUUUCUACGGUUAUUGAUCUAGCAGAAAAAAUGUUGUUUUCACAUCAUUGUUUUAAUCCAAUGUUCAGCUUUCAUGCUAUAAGCUUUACUGCUUUACUGAUUUUCGUAGGAAAUGUUGAACGUUCGUAUAAAUUGAAUCAAUGUGGCCUUACAUGUAGUGCCGGUACUGUUAAAUUUGUAGAUAUCUUAUUUUAUUCAGCAGUAACUUUAUUUUCUUUUCACUUCUUUUUUAUAAAUGUCAUGGAGUCAGUUAUAAUAGUGAUUUCUUUUCCUUCUGAAAGAAAUUGUUUAUCUGCUUUGGGUUUCAAUUUUAAGGCCAUCUCGGUACAAUCUGCAACUACUUAUAGACUACUUCAUCUGGAUGGGUUUGCAACUUUGUGUACAGUUUGCUUCAAUACCUCUGGUACCAUUCUACUGUCUGCUGCUAUUUUUCCAUUUGUUCAGUUGCUACCUCUACCCGCCAAGUUGAUUUUCUGCAGAUAGAGUUGAAGGUGAGGGUCGUCUAUGAGUUAUCGUCCGAUAUGGUGGCCACUAAGUUGAGGUGAACGUAGGCAACGUUGGUCAUGCUCAAUAGCACUUGUUUUGGAGACACGGGAGAAGACAUGGGGUGACGUAGUAGUGUGUGGGGCGGGCGGAGCGCCGGGAAAGGCCACAGCAACACCUGCGCUUCAAUCAAUUACGAUGGCCUCUGAUCAAACCAUACUAAGCCAGUGUAAAGGAAUUGACAAAGUGCAAAAUUGUUCAAAGAAAUAUGACUUGGGGCAACGUAGCAGUGUGUGGGGCGGGCGGAGCGCCGGGAAAGGCCACAACAACACCUGCACUUCAAUCGAUUAUGAUGGCCUCUGAUCGAACCAUACUAAGCCAGUGUAAAGGAAUUGACAAAGUGCAAAAUUGUUCAAAAAAAUAUGGCGGGUGGUCCCACAUCUAAAAAUAGAGGGAGAACUCAGUUAUAUCAAACAUGUGCCUUUUUUGUCAGACAAAGAAAAGUGUACUAUGAAAGGAAAUGUGUGCCAUUUUU